GUAGCUUGCUACCUUGACCUAGCGGCGGACGGGUGAGUAAUGCUUAGGAAUCUGCCUAUUAGUGGGGGACAACAUUCCGAAAGGAAUGCUAAUACCGCAUACGCCCUACGGGGGAAAGCAGGGGAUCUUCGGACCUUGCGCUAAUAGAUGAGCCUAAGUCAGAUUAGCUAGUUGGUGGGGUAAAGGCCUACCAAGGCGACGAUCUGUAGCGGGUCUGAGAGGAUGAUCCGCCACACUGGGACUGAGACACGGCCCAGACUCCUACGGGAGGCAGCAGUGGGGAAUAUUGGACAAUGGGCGAAAGCCUGAUCCAGCCAUGCCGCGUGUGUGAAGAAGGCCUUUUGGUUGUAAAGCACUUUAAGCGAGGAGGAGGCUACUUGGAUUAAUACUCUAGGAUAGUGGACGUUACUCGCAGAAUAAGCACCGGCUAACUCUGUGCCAGCAGCCGCGGUAAUACAGAGGGUGCGAGCGUUAAUCGGAUUUACUGGGCGUAAAGCGUGCGUAGGCGGCUUUUUAAGUCGGAUGUGAAAUCCCUGAGCUUAACUUAGGAAUUGCAUUCGAUACUGGGAAGCUAGAGUAUGGGAGAGGAUGGUAGAAUUCCAGGUGUAGCGGUGAAAUGCGUAGAGAUCUGGAGGAAUACCGAUGGCGAAGGCAGCCAUCUGGCCUAAUACUGACGCUGAGGUACGAAAGCAUGGGGAGCAAACAG
rnacentral:rRNA from 1 species